GAUUUUUGCCGGUAUCUGCGUCUGUCCUCUCCUGCUUGUACUUGCCAGGCACGCCUCUUUAGCUCUUUUCACAUUUAACUUCUGCAGGGAGCUGACUGGAUAUUCUUCUCUUCUGUGUUCUUUUCUUAUUAUGUCUGUGGUGUCCACCGUAAAGUAAAACAAAUGAAACCUGAGGAAAAAAAUGAUUUCUGGUCAAACAUAGCUUCCCUCUCUCAACGACAGUAAACACGUUAACUUUCGUGAAGCUGACUUUCACGCUGCGUGAUUGGGUGGUCGAUUUGAAAAGCUUGAUUCUGAUUGGUCCAACUGAAUGCACUGUGCUAGUGGACUGGGUGGGAGGGCACACUUCGGCCCUCUGUUCACAUGCGUUUACUUUUUACAAACAGAAACAAGUAUAACUGUAUUAUGAUUUAAAGUAUGCUUAUUUCUAUAUGUUGUUGUUUGUUAAGUUAAGAACAUGUGCUGCUUCCUUCUAGGCCAGGUUACCCUUAUGAAAGAGGUUGUUAUGGUUUUCUCUCCUUUUCUUCAGUUAUUCUGAUUUUUCCUUGGUUUUCUCUGUUCUCUGCCUGCCUCCCUGUGUGUGCUCUCUCUCCCUCUGCUCCUGAGCCCAGCCAAUGACCCGCACCUGCACCUCAUCAGCCUGCCACACCUGCCAGUAGUCAACCUCAUCCCUGCAUGUAUUUCAACCCCAGCUCUCCACACCAUUCUUGCUUGAUCGUCGUUGCUCCCAACCUGGUUCAUUCACCCUCGUCCUCCGUCCAGUCGGCUGGGCUCUACCUGCGGUCCCCUCCUCCUCGGACUUCCCUCACGGCGUCCUCCCAGUCCUUCCUUGCCUCCCCGCUUCCUCGGCCCCAAUGCUCCCCAGCUCUGGUCCUAGUCUCCUCGGUUCCCUGUGCCUGCGUUUCCCCGGCAAUCUCUUCUCCCUCGACUCCAGUCCCUAACCCCCCUUUUCUCAAUAAAACUUGCUUAAACCAAA